GGUGGGAGGAUCACUUGAGCCUGGGAGGUUGAGGCUGCUGUAAGCCAUGAUUGUGCCACUGCACUCCAGCCUGAGUGACAGAGCAAGACCCUGUCUC
rnacentral:miRNA from 1 species